AGCCGAAACCUCCUGAAGGGAGGUCGUCCACGGGUGGUGCCGUGGGCCUGACGAAGGCAGCCAUUU
rnacentral:hammerhead_ribozyme from 1 species